UCAAACUAAACCAUCUCAUUCUGGCUUUUGAGGUGGAUUCUAACCUCGAAAUCUCAGAAGGAGCGGUCUAAGAUGGACGCAGCCUCCAUAGGAUGCAACCUUGCAUUUGAGAAACACCCAUAGAACGGAGAAAGUCAUGGGUUCUGCUGCUAAGGUUGUCAUAAACGUCUUUUAUUCUGCUUACCUGACUCAUGCAGAAUUCUGGCUUGAUGUUUGGUCCACCUGUUAGCUGGCUCUGGUGCUUGGUAGUCUUCUCAAACCUCUGAAUCAAGACCACCAUGAGAGGCCUUCUGAAGACCAUCAUUACGCUUCAGAUCCAGUUGUCUUUACUUUGAGCCUACCACAAUCCCUGUGCACCAGCUAUGGAAAGUGCAGACCAAACUUCUACCUCCACCUAUAGAACUGAACUGGAGUCUAUGAACUAAUGCUGUGUUCGAGACAACUUGGAUGUUGGAUAUUAUUGACCUUAAACCCGUAAGAAGUCAGGAACAGGAAACAAAGUGGAGUAUCCGACCUCUCAACUUGGACCAGAUCGAUCAACACUGACCUCAACGAGAUGCGUCAUUUGACAUUGCAGACAAGAUCCUUUCUCUUUUUAAUGCAGCACUUAAGGAUGAACCACCCUGAUCUACUAAGAUGCACAGAUUCAACUCUGGCCCAGCAUCAUCCCCAUACCUCAUCUGCCAUCAGUUCAAUUUAAUGUCUGUCAAUUGCAAAUGGUAUUUAUUUCAGUUAUAUUACAACUUAAUAUUAAAGGAAUAGUCUACCCUUUUGCCAUAUUAAACUAUGUUAUUACCUCAACCUAGAUGAAUUAAUACAUACCUAUCUUUUUUCAAUGCGUGCACCGUACAGCGCGUUGUGAAUGUGUUAGCAUUUAGCCUAGCCCCAUUCAUU